rnacentral:rRNA from 1 species
GACGAACGCUGGCGGCGUGCUUAAUACAUGCAAGUCGAACGGAGCCUAGCUGGUGGUUUACUACCGGCGAAAGCUUAGUGGCGGACGGGUGAGUAACGCGUGGGUAAUCUGCCCCUAAGUCCGGGAUAACAGAGCGAAAGUUCUGCUAAUACCGGAUACUCUUCCCGGGUCGCAUGGUCCGGGAAGGAAAGGUUUACUGCUUAGGGAUGAGCCCGCGUCCCAUUAGCUAGUUGGUGAGGUAACGGCUCACCAAGGCGACGAUGGGUAGCCGGCCUGAGAGGGUGGACGGCCACACUGGGACUGAGACACGGCCCAGACUCCUACGGGAGGCAGCAGUAGGGAAUUUUCCGCAAUGGGCGAAAGCCUGACGGAGCAACGCCGCGUGAGGGAAGAAGGUCUUCGGAUCGUAAACCUUUGUCAUCGGGGACGAUCAUGACGGUACCCGAGGAGGAAGCCCCGGCUAACUACGUG